AACGUAGGAGACAAACGUUAUCCGGAGUUACUGGGCGUAAAGGGCGUGUAGGUGGUUUCGUAAGUCUGGCGUGAAAUUUUUCGGCUUAACCGGGAAAGGUCGUCGGAUACUGCGGAACUAGAGGACGGUAGAGGCGUGUGGAAUUCUGGGUGUAGUGGUGAAAUGCGUAGAGAUCCGGAGGAACACCAGUGGCGAAGGCGACACGCUGGGCCGUACCUGACACUGAUGCGCGACAGCAUGGGGAGCAAACAGG
rnacentral:rRNA from 1 species